AUCGGAUGGGACACUUUAUAGUACAACGAAUCUGGACAGGAAGCAUAUCCGGAUUCGUUGUACUAUAAAGUGUUUCGUCCGGU
rfam:Oryza barthii chromosome 6, whole genome shotgun sequence.